GCCCGGGUGGUGAAAUAGGUAGACACAAGGGAUUUAAAAUCCCUCGCUGGCAACAGCGUGCCGGUUCGAGUCCGGCCCCGGGCACCA
rnacentral:tRNA from 1 species